CCUACGGGUGGCAGCAGUGAGGAAUAUUGGUCAAUGGCCGAGAGGCUGAACCAGCCAAGUCGCGUGAGGGAAGACGGCCCUACGGGUUGUAAACCUCUUUUGUCGGGGAGCAAAGCGAACCACGUGUGGUUCAUUGAGAGUACCCGAAGAAAAAGCAUCGGCUAACUCCGUGCCAGCAGCCGCGGUAAUACGGAGGAUGCGAGCGUUAUCCGGAUUUAUUGGGGUUAAAGGGUGCGCAGGCGGAGGUGCAAGUCAGCGGUCAAAUUGCGGGGCUCAACCCCGUACUGCCGUUGAAACUGCAUCCCUUGAGUGCAGGAGAGGGAAGCAGAAUUCCUAGUGUAGCGGUGAAAUGCGUAGAGAUUAGGAGGAACACCAGUGGCGAAGGCGGCUUACUGGACUGUAACUGACGUUGAGGCUCGAAAGCGUGGGGAGCAAACAGGAUUAGAUACCCGAGUAGUC
rnacentral:rRNA from 1 species